ACUUAUAAUGCAGUCCCAUUAUAAGUCAAGGAACAUCUGUAAUAUCCAGAAUCAUUAGCUGUAUGUAACAAGAUGAAUGGAAAAAAGUACACCUUCUCUAACUUUCUAGAAGUGGAAGGCAUGAUGCUUCUUUUUUUCUUCUAACAGCAACCUUAGAACAGCCUGACAAAAGGUUUGAGUAUGACUAGGAAUUGACCACAAAAAAAGGCAAAGCUUAACUACUAGAAUGGGAUGAACAAAUUUUGUGAUUGUGGAUAAAAAGAGCAACAGCACUGGCACCUAGGAAUGGACAAUCUUGGACCAUUGGAGGUGAAGAGGGUGAGGAUUAAUGUUCUCUUUGUAUGCUAGAUGAAGCACACAGCCUGGCAAGGCAACAAUAUAGUUUGGUUGUCUGUUGGUUUGUCAUCUUCUUCCACAUUCCAUGAAAACAGAAAAACUCCUGUGAAUAUAGCCUCUCCUGAACAUUUCUGCAACAUGAAUGGCAGCUUCCCAAUGCAGAUUCCCUAUCCUCUUAAGUGUGAAAAUACAGGAAUCAGCACAACAUU